AUUGAACGCUGGCGGCAGGCCUAACACAUGCAAGUCGAACGAGUGGCGGACGGGUGAGUAAUGUCUGGGAAACUGCCUGAUGGAGGGGGUUAACUACUGGAACCGGUAGCUAAUACCGCAUACCAUCGGAUGUGCCCAGAGGGGAUUAGCUAGUAGUUGGGGUAAAGGCUUACCUAGGCGACGAUCCCUAGCUGGUCGGAGAGGAUGACCAGCCAAACCGGAACUGAGCGACGGUCCAGACUCCUACGGGAGGCAGCAGUGGGGAAUAUUGCACAAUGGGCGCAAGCCUGAUGCAGCCAUGCCGCGUGGAUGAAGAAGGCCUUCGGGUUGUAAAGUACUUUCAGUGGGGAGGCGUUACGCGCAGAAGAAGCACCGGCUAACUCCGUGCCAGCAGCCGCGGUAAUUC
rnacentral:rRNA from 1 species